rnacentral:rRNA from 1 species
CGCGGUGAAUACGUUCCCGGACCUUGUACACACCGCCCGUCAAGCCAUGGAAGCUGGGUGUACCUAAAGUCGGUAACCGCAAGGAGCCGCCUAGGGUAAAACUAGUAACUGGGGCUAAGUCGUAACAAAGGGUACCC